UCAAUCCUUAUAUUCCCGUAAACUUAGCAUACUCAAAAUUUGUUCCGUAAGCAGUUAAUAAGUUAUUGUAACUCUAGUGUUUACCCUAUAAAUUAAGUUCUCUUAUUGGAUGGUAGAUGGCCAAUCAGCGCUCAGUUAACAAAAUCAUCAACCAAUCACAAGAGGAGGAGAAAUCAGCUGAGAGCAACGCAAACAAGAAACGACAAAAUUUCAGUGAGACGGAAGUAUACGCCAUAGUGUGUGAAGUCGCCAAAAGAAAGAAAAUAAUUUUAGUGAAGUUGGACUCGAGAUGUACAAUCAAAUAUAAGAAUCAUGCCUGAUAAGAAGUAGUAAAAGCAGUGAAUGUUGUUGCUCGUAUCGCCCGCAAUGUUGAUGAAGUCAGGUGGAAGUUUUCCGAUUUACGUGUAAGCGUGAAGAAGGAAGCAGCACAAGAUAAGAAAUAUACUGGUGGAACAGGUAACAGCUGAUGUACGUGAAGGCCAAUGGAGAAGUGACAGAACCUCGAGCAAGAUUUAACUACCAGCAUGUUACUUCAGCCUCAUCAGUUAAGUUACUUGUACAGUAUAUCUUAGCUAAUAUCUUUAUCCAAUAAACCACUCGACAAUGCUCCUACACUGGGCAGUGGAGGGUGUGUGUGUAUCUUGGCUAUUAUGGUCAUCCCAUAAACUACUCAACACCAUGCUUCUACACUCGGCAGUGGAGGGUGUGUGGGGGGCCUGGCUGACAGUGUGAAGGAGGGCUCGUGAGUACUUAGUGGACAGAUUGGUCUUCGAGUAAAUUUAAUAUUAGUUGUAGUGACAGUAUAAAUAUACAGGAGUAGUAUAUAUAGGAUAUAGUAGUGGUAGUAGUAAUAGUAUAGUAGUAAAUACAGCAAGUAAAGCAAGUUGUUGUGGGUGGGUUUCAACUAACUUUACUAACCUAACUUAACCAGCCUAAGUUAAUUAAACAUAAUAACGUAGAGUGAACCAAAUCCGUAAUAAGGUCACCGCUUGAACUCCUCUCAUAUUUGCUUCAUUAUCGUAAGAUUGACCUCCACAAUCCUCAAAAGAAAUGUUCAGUUGUUUGUCUUCCGAGUAGAAGUCAUGACAAAUUUAGCCCUGUAGACUUCUCUACCUCAAGGAACCCUAAGAAAUGCUCCUUUAUUGAUGACUUGUCUUCAAGAAAGUUGCUCAAAUCAGGGGUAUUUCGAUGCUUUGAUAUCGUCCACGAUUCUUUCAGUAAUCUUUGCACUGAUAAUGUUAAUCAGUUCAUUUUGGAUCAUUUUGGACCAUUUUGGACCAUUGGAUUGACAGUUAAAUUUUUCAGCUGACCCUCUAGAGCCAAAUUGAUUUCAGCUAGAGACUGAAUAAUCGCCAUUAGUCUAGUGAGGACUUGGCGCCACCUGUUCCACUCAGCCAUUAACAUUUCCAUUUCCCGUCUGUCUAUCGUCCUUCCACUUGCAAUGUUGACCUCCAGUUCCUUCUAUGUUGUCAUGUUUUUUAGUGUGUUCUAUGUUACUUUCAUGUGUGCUGAGCAAAUGACUAGUUCUCAGUUGGAGUCAAUUUGUUACCAUUGAAUUUAUUGAGAUAACACAAGUUUGGUGUUAAAUUUUUCAGUGUUGUAUUUUUCAACCUGUUUUUUUUUUAACGGAGAAUUUUAUUACAUAGCGCCUUACCAUUUCUUACAGUGUAGACUGAUAUGCAUUGUUGGUAAAGAGGUUAUAUGUAUUUGAGAACUAAUUCCGGUGUAUUUUCAGCCAUAGUAUUGAGUGGGUUGAGGACUCUGUGGUGAAAUGGACAUCUAAGACAUACAAUCUCUGAAAAUGAAUUGCUGGAAGCACCCUCUGUACAUGUAAGGACCACCAAUUGUGAGUAAAGCACAGAGUAAAUUGUGUAGUGUUAACACAGUGUCAAGAUAAUUGAAAAAGACAGUGAAUUCUUGUGAGUACAGAAAAUCCGCUUUGUGUUAAUCAUCCGUGAAAGCUACAGAGUUAUAUUUUCUUGAGACAUUCUCGUCAAGUAUCAUCAAGUAUUUUAUUUUGAGCAUUGCUAUGAGUACUUUGUGAAUUGAAAGUUUGUAUUGUCCUCUUUAGAGAUACUUAAUUUUCUGAGUGAGUCACCGAUACUACUGCCGAUUAUUUAUUUUGGUGAGUAUCCAUUUAAGAAGUAUCCGAGGCAUUUAUGUGUCAAUGUUUACCCCCUUUGCUCUGGAAGGGUGUUAAUUGAAUUUAUCUUUGGUGGGGUUGUUUUGUAGAAGAUUUGUUGUGACAUCAGCGCACGAUGAUCACAGUAGUUGUGAAUAAGUUACAACUUAUGUGUGAGUUCCGAGAACUUGCCAAAGCCAUGGAGGCCAGCAUU